rnacentral:rRNA from 1 species
GUACGGAACGUAGCUAAUACCGGAUAAUAUUUUGAACCGCAUGGUUCAAAAGUGAAAGACGGUCUUGCUGUCACUUAUAGAUGGAUCCGCGCUGCAUUAGCUAGUUGGUAAGGUAACGGCUUACCAAGGCAACGAUGCAUAGCCGACCUGAGAGGGUGAUCGGCCACACUGGAACUGAGACACGGUCCAG